CGGACAGAUUUACAACCUGAGAGUCAGCAGAUACUGAAAUACUGUGAAGUCUCAAGAACAAUAUGUACAUAUAACAAUGACACUUAUGAUCAUUUAAGAGUUUUAAUAUUAGAAGAAGACUAAAUGAAUUUUAGCUGAGUUGGAAGAAUCAGCUGGACACAUCAUCACAUUUAUAAUUCGUGCUGUGAAUUCUGGUUUCAGAGAUAAAUGUAAAUGUAAAGAUUUGCAUGAAUGAGCAGGAAGCCCUGCAGCAGACUCACAGACGGAUGCAGAGGGGAGGAGUGUGGAGGUGUGUGCUGUGUGUUUGGAGGAGGGACUCCUUCAGUUAGAGAAGUGAGGCGUCACAAGUUCCUGGUUUCCAGUGAAGAAGAAGAGAGGCAGCAGUAAACCAUCAGAGCCUCAUCAUGAAAGUCCAUCACACUCUGAUCUGCUUCUUCUUCCUUUCUCUGCAGGAUGGAAACGCUGAAGUCAGCAUCAACAACAACAUUUCCUUUGGAGUCGUUGGAAGAAAUCUAACAGCUGAAUUCUCCUUUUCUGCUGGAACAUGGAAAAUGUUCUGCAGAGGAGAAUGUAAAGGAGGAAACAUUCUUAUUAAUACAACAGAUGAGAAGCAUCAAAGUCACAGAUACAGCACUGGAUAUGUAAUUGUAGAAAGUGCUCCUACUUUGUCUGUGAGCAUCACACAGCUGAUCAUGUCUGAUGCUGGACAGUACAGCUGUGGUGUGGGUGGAUCUCCAUCAUCAGUUUCAUACAGACAGUUUGAAGUUGUUGUUGCUGAAGCACUGCUGGAUGGAAACGAUGAUCCUGCUCAGCUGAAACACUUCAAUAAAGAAACUGGAAGCUCUCUCACAGUCGGAUGUUACUUUGCAGACUCUGGAAGGAGGAAGUACUUCUGCAGGGAAGAAUGUAAAAGAGAUGACAUUUUAAUUGAGACUCAGGGUAGCAGAGCUCAGAGAGACAGAUACAGUGCUGAAUAUGAAGAAGAAUCUGGUACAAGUGGUAUUCUGUAUGUGACCAUUAAACAGCUGAGGGAGUCUGACUCAGGACGGUACAGAUGUUACGUGGACAGAUCCUUUAGUACUGAUCCAUACAGAGAGUUUGAGAUUACUGUCACAGCAGCAGUCCUCCCAUCAGCCCCCACACCUCCAUUAACUUUCACUGGAACCACUGAGCAGUCUGAGAGGACAGCAUCUACAGUCCUCCCAUCAGCCUCCACACCUCCAUCAACUUUCAAUGGAGCCACUGAGCAGUCUGAGAGGACAGCAUCUACAGAUGUGGUGCUGUUUGUGGGUCUGACUCUGGCUGUCAUCAUCAUCCUGUUAUCAGUGUCGGUGCUGAUAUUCUGCAAGUACAGAUCAUCUAAACCAAAGGAUCAUCCUGUGGGAACUGAACGUGAUGCUGUCACAGAGACCAACACAGUGUAUGAGAAUAUCCGAGCAGAGGGCAGACACAGCAGAUCUCCUCCUUACUCUUAUGCCAAAUACACCAAACCGUCUGGAGUUGAAAGCAAUGAUGACCACAGCUUGGUCACUGCAGCCACUUCUCAGCACAGAACUGAAGAUGACUCGAGCAAACUCACCUACUCUGUGGUGAAUUUUUCCAAGAAGAGCAGUGACUCUGCCAACAGCACGUCCUGCAGUAACACCAGUGAAGUUAUCUACUCCGAGCCUCGGGUUAAUGCAAACCACUCCGGAGGUGAUCCAUUGUACUCUACUAUAACCUAGCUUUAGCUCCUGUGCUGGUGGCACAGUUUAUUUCUCACAGUGUUCAAAAUGAAGCAGCGCUUCCAUCAAAAUCUGAAGAUUCAUCCUUCCAUCCAUUUUCUUAUCUGGAGCCUUGUCACAGGGGCCCAGACCCAGAGAAGCCCAGACCUCCCUCUCCCCAGCCGCCUCCUCCACCUUAUCUAGGGGAACACCAAGUUGUUCCCAGGCCAGCUGAGAGAUAUAAUCUCUCCAACGUGUCCUGGGUCUGCCCCGGGGCCUUCUCCCGGUGGGACAUGCCCAGAACACCUCACCCAGGAGGCGCCCGAAGGCAUCCUUAUCCUCCUUUCAAUGUGGAGCCCGUCUUGGAUGGCCAAACUCCUCGCCCCAUCUCUAAGGGAGAGGCCAGCCACCCUUUGGAGGAAACUCAUUUCCCCGCUGUAUCCAUGAUCUUGUUUUCUGAGGUGAGGGUGGGGACAUAGACCAACCUGUAAACUGAGAUCUUUGCUUUUACACUCAGCUCUCUCUUUACUGCAGCCACAGCACCGAUCCAUCUGUCAAUCUCCCCUUACUCAUGAACAAGACAUGAGAUACUUAAACUCCUCCACCUAAGACUGUAAAAUCUAAGAUUCUUUUUUCUUUUAUGUUACAAUUUGAUGUAAUUUGUCUUUAGGUUAGUGUUACAGUCAUUUAAAUUAAGAUCAGAGGUGGUAAGGUUUCUCCACCUAAGCUAAUAAUCCUUAACUAAUAACUGCUUGACCUACGUUUUUAAAGAAUUAUACACAAACAAAAGAAAGAAAGAAACUGGUAAUGAGAUAUUAAUACACAGCUCACCCAGUGUGGAGCCACUGAAUCCAGACUCAUCCGUCGGAUUGGCAGAUGGAGAAGCGUGAACACGUUUCCACUGCUCUAGAUCAGACGGCAGGUUUAAAUAUCACAACUAUAAUAAUCCAUAAUUAUGUGGAUAUGCAUAUCAGAUAGUUUUUAGUGAAAUAUAAGCCCUACAGAAAGGCAGGGAAAGCCCUGUAACUUACUUUAAAACUAAACGGUGGACAGAGCUACAGACCCCUGACAGCCUUACCCAGUUAGCUAGCUGGUAAAAGGACAGGUAAUGUUUGUCAUGCUGUUGCACACACAGCACACUCAUUUGUUUCAGUUCGUCAGUUGCCACAAGACAGCUGACCAACAUGUGCUUGAUAACCUAAGACUGCUGGGUGCUACAGACUACAGUGUACGCUGUACACCAUACUUAAUCGUUUUGCUGCAUCAGUCUGCCUCUGAGUUAAUUUGUGUUUAAGGGUUAGUCCUAUGAUAACAUGCAUGAACUGUAUCUUUAUUCGACCUCGUAUCUCUAUUGUUGUUUAAGACGUGUGUUUUAGGGACUUAAUAAAUGAUUAAACAAUUUCUAAACAAUGAUAUCUUUUGUAGUUUGGAGGCUAAACAGGCCUAAUACACUGAAUAUGUUUUCAGUGGUAGUCGAGCAUCACUUCAGUAAGUAUGUAACAGAAAGAGGAAGCAGCUGCUGGUUUUCUAAAUCUAUUUGACCCAACAUUCAGUGAAGUGAUUAAAAAGAGGAAGUAAGAACUAGUUACCGUAAACAAGCUGUCACACAUGGGUGGACCUCCUUUACUUCAAGCAUGACUCAGUUUUUCUGUCUUUGUGGGGUUGUUUAACCUUUUCAUUUGUAUCAUGAGUAACUUUUGCAGCAUUUUUUAUUUGCAUUUAGUCACAC
ensembl:lncRNA